CUCAGAAACUCAAAUGAAGUUGACGGGGGCCCGCGACAAGCGGUGGAGCAUGUGGUUUAAUCGAAGCAACGCGAAGAACUUACCAGGCCUUGACAUGCAGAGAACUUUCCAGAGAUGGAUUGGUGCCUUCGGGAACUCUGACACAGGUGCUGCAUGGCUGUCGUCAGCUCGUGUCGUGAGAUGUUGGGUUAAGUCCCGUAACGAGCGCAACCCUUGUCCUUAGUUACCAGCACGUUAUGGUGGGCACUCUAAGGAGACUGCCGGUGACAAACCGGAGGAAGGUGGGAUGACGUCAAGUCAUCAUGGCCCUUACGGCCUGGGCUACACACGUGCUACAAUGGUCGGUACAAAGGGUUGCCAAGCCGCGAGGUGGAGCUAAUCCCAUAAAACCGAUCGUAGUCCGGAUCGCAGUCUGCAACUCGACUGCGUGAAGUCGGAAUCGCUAGUAAUCGUGAAUCAGAAUGUCACGGUGAAUACGUUCCCGGGCCUU
rnacentral:rRNA from 1 species